AAGAAAAGAAGGAGAAGGCUGUCGCCGCCGCCAUGUCGCUCCCGGCGGACGGAAGCGCCGCCGCAAGCAAGCGACGAAGGGAGGAGCCAGGGCAAAUGGUUCCUAUUCAAGUUUUCAUUCUGGGGGCUGAAGAGGUGUUUCGUUCUGAGCGAACGGUGGAAUGCUGGCAUUUAUGGCUGAGGGCUAACCACAGCAGUUAUGAGAGCCAUUGACACAGCAGGUAUAAAGAGGAAUCCAGUUCCAGUCUUAAGAAGCCUUAAGGAUGGAAAUGUCCCAGAACAUGCUUGUUUC